UAAUACCCCGCUGAACUUAAGCAUAUCAAUAAGCGGAGGAAAAGAAACCAACAAGGGAUUCCUCAGUAACGGCGAGUGAAGCGGUAACAGCUCAAAUUUGAAAUCUGGCCUCACGGUCCGAGUUGGUAAUUUGUAGAGGAUGCUUCGAGCAUGGUCUGGCCUAAGUUCCUUGGAACAGGACGUCAUAGAGGGUGAGAAUCCCGUAUGCGGCCAGGUGCCUACGCUCAUGUGAAGCUCCUUCGACGAGUCGAGUUGUUUGGGAAUGCAGCUCAAAAUGGGUGGUAAAUUUCAUCUAAAGCUAAAUAUUGGCCAGAGACCGAUAGCGCACAAGUAGAGUGAUCGAAAGAUGAAAAGCACUUUGGAAAGAGAGUUAAACAGUACGUGAAAUUGUUGAAAGGGAAGCGCUUGCAACCAGACUUGCGCGCGGCCGAUCAUCCGGUGUUCUCACCGGUGCACUCGGCCGUGCUCAGGCCAGCAUCGGUUUUGGCGGCUGGAUAAAGGCCCUAGGAAUGUGGCUCCUCUCGGGGAGUGUUAUAGCCUAGGGUGCAAUGCAGCCUGCUGGGACCGAGGACCGCGCUUCGGCUAGGAUGCUGGCGUAAUGGUUGUAAGCGGCCCGUCUUGAAACACGGACCAAGGAGUCUAACAUCUAUGCGAGUGUUUGGGUGUCAAACCCAUACGCGUAAUGAAAGUGAACGGAGGUGAGAACCCUUAAGGGUGCAUCAUCGACCGAUCCUGAUGUCUUCGGAAGGAUUUGAGUAAGAGCAUAGCUGUUGGGACCCGAAAAGAUGGUGAACUAUGCCUGAAUAGGGUGAAGCCAGAGGAAACUCUGGUGGAGGCUCGCAGCGGUUCUGACGUGCAAAUCGAUCGUCCAAUUUUGGGUAUAGGGGCGAAAGACUAAUUCGAACCAUUCUAAGAGCUUGGUUCCUGGCCGAAGUUUCCCUCAGGAUUAC
rnacentral:rRNA from 1 species